UACGUAGGGUGCGAGCGUUAAUCGGAAUACUGGGCGUAAAGCGUGCGCAGGCGGUUUGUUAAGUCCGCUGUGAAAGCCCCGGGCUCAACCUGGGAAUGGCGGUGGAAACUGGCGAGCUAGAGUGUGUCAGAGGGGGGUGGAAUUCCACGUGUAGCAGUGAAAUGCGUAGAGAUGUGGAGGAACACCAAUGGCGAAGGCAGCCCCUGGGAUACGACUGA
rnacentral:rRNA from 1 species